AAUACUUCCUGUGUGUGUUCAAAUGGUGGACAAAGACAUGAAAGGCAGGUGCAAAAAUAAAUCCUCUUUUGCAAACCAGAAUUCAUUUCUCAGUAUGGGUUUUGAUACAUAGAAGAAAUAAGAUA
ensembl:snoRNA